rnacentral:rRNA from 1 species
AACGAACGCUGGCGGCAUGCCUAACACAUGCAAGUCGAGCGAGACCUUCGGGUCUAGUGGCGCACGGGUGCGUAACGCGUGGGAACCUGCCCUUAGGUUCGGAAUAACUCCCCGAAAGGGGUGCUAAUACCGGAUAAUGUCUUCGGACCAAAGAUUUAUCGCCUUUGGAUGGGCCCGCGUUGGAUUAGCUAGUUGGUAGGGUAAAAGCCUACCAAGGCGACGAUCCAUAGCUGGUCUGAGAGGAUGAUCAGCCACACUGGGACUGAGACACGGCCCAGACUCCUACGGGAGGCAGCAGUGGGGAAUAUUGGACAAUGGGCGAAAGCCUGAUCCAGCAAUGCCGCGUGAGUGAUGAAGGCCUUAGGGUUGUAAAGCUCUUUUACCGGGAUGAUAAUGACAGUACCGGGAGAAUAAGCUCCGGCUAACUCCGUG